rnacentral:rRNA from 1 species
ACGCUCGACACCUACGGGAGACAGCGUGGGGAAUAUUGCACAAUGGGGGAAACCCUGAUGCAGCAACGCCGCGUGAAGGAAGAAGGUUUUCGGAUCGUAAACUUCUAUCAAUAGGGAAGAAAGAAAUGACGGUACCUAAAUAAGAAGCCCCGGCUAACUACGUGCCUGCAGCCGCGGUAAUCUGAGCGGGCUGGCAAGGC